rnacentral:rRNA from 1 species
GUUGAACGCUGGCGGCAGGCCUAAUACAUGCAAGUCGAGCGGACGGACGAGGAUCGUUCUUCGCUUACGUUGGCGACGGGCGGGUGAUGAACACGUAUAUAACCUGCCUAGAGGGCUGGGGUAACGUCGCGAGAGCUGAUCUAAUACCGGUUAUGAGGGUGAACGUGGUGGUUCAUUAGUGAAAGAGGGUUUUGCUGUCACUUGGAGGGGUAUGCGCGCCGCAUUGGUUAGUUGGUAAGGUAACGGCGUACCAAGGCAACGAUGCGUAGCCGACCUGAGAGGGUGAUCAGCCACACUGGAACUGAGACACGGUCCAGACUCCUACGGGAGGCAGCAGUAGGGAAUAUUCCGCAAUGGGCGAAAGCCUGACGGAGCAACGCCGCGUGAGUGAUGAAGGUCUUCGGAUCGUAAAGCUCUGUUAUUAGGGAAGAACAACUGUGUAAGUAAACCUGCACGUCUUGACGGUACCUACUCAGAAAGCACCGGCUAACUACGUG